GACGAACGCUGGCGGCGUGCUUAACACAUGCAAGUCGAACGGAAAGGCCCUGCUUUUGUGGGGUGCUCGAGUGGCGAACGGGUGAGUGACACGUGAGUAACCUGCCCUUGACUUUGGGAUAACUUCAGGAAACUGGGGCUAAUACCGGAUAGGAGCUCCUGCUGCAUGGUGGGGGUUGGAAAGUUUCGGCGGUUGGGGAUGGACUCGCGGCUUAUCAGCUUGUUGGUGGGGUAGUGGCUUACCAAGGCUUUGACGGGUAGCCGGCCUGAGAGGGUGACCGGCCACAUUGGGACUGAGAUACGGCCCAGACUCCUACGGGAGGCAGCAGUGGGGAAUAUUGCACAAUGGGCGGAAGCCUGAUGCAGCAACGCCGCGUGCGGGAUGACGGCCUUCGGGUUGUAAACCGCUUUCGCCUGUGACGAAGCGUGAGUGACGGUAAUGGGUAAAGAAGCACCGGCUAGCUACGUG
rnacentral:rRNA from 1 species